GACGAACGCUGGCGGCGUGCCUAACACAUGCAAGUCGAGCGGGGUCCAUCCGGUAGCAAUACCGGGGAAGACCUAGCGGCGAACGGGUGAGUAACACGUGAGAAACCUGCCCCGAAGUCUGGGAUAACCCGAGGAAACUCGAGCUAAUACCGGAUGUCUUCUUCUGAUCGCAUGGUCGGAUGAAGAAAAGAUUUAUCGCUUCGGGAGGGUCUCGCGGCCUAUCAGCUAGUUGGCGGGGUAACGGCCCACCAAGGCGUCGACGGGUAGCUGGUCUGAGAGGACGAUCAGCCACACUGGGACUGAGACACGGCCCAGACUCCUACGGGAGGCAGCAGUGGGGAAUAUUGCGCAAUGGGCGGAAAGACCUGACGCAGCAACGCCGCGUGCGGGAGUGAAGG
rnacentral:rRNA from 1 species